rnacentral:rRNA from 1 species
AUUGAACGCUGGCGGCAGGCCUAACACAUGCAAGUCGAGCGAGCGGCGGACGGGUGAGUAAUGUAUGGGGACUGCCCGAUAGAGGGGGAUAACUACUGGAAACGGUGGCUAAUACCGCAUACUAUCGGAUGACCCAUGUUGGGUUAGCGAAUAGGUGGGGUAAAGGCUACCAUAGGCGACGCUCUCUAGCUGGUCUGAGAGGAUGAUCAGCCACACUGGGACUGAGACAAGGCCCAGACUCCUACGGAGGCAGCAGUGGGGAAUAUUUGACAAUGGGCGCAAGCCUGAUGGAGCCAGGCCGCGUGUAUGAAGAAGGCCUUAGGUUUGUAAAGUACUUUCAGCGGGGAGGCGUUACCCGCAGAAGAAGCACCGGCUAACUCCGUGCCAGCCGCCGCGGUAAUAC